UACGUAGGGCGCAAGCGUUGUCCGGAAUUAUUGGGCGUAAAGAGCUCGUAGGCGGCUUUGUCACGUCGAUUGUGAAAGCCCGAGGCUUAACCUCGGGUCUGCAGUCGAUACGGGCUAGCUAGAGUGUGGUAGGGGAGAUCGAAUUCCUGGUGUAGCGGUGAAAUGCGCAGAUAUCAGGAGGAACACCGGUGGCGAAGGCGGAUCUCUGGGCCAUUACUGACGUGAGGAGCGAAAAGCGUGGGGGAGCGAAACAGG
rnacentral:rRNA from 1 species